GUGCUCACUUUGGCAGCACAUACACUAAAAUUGGAAUGAUACAGAGAAGAUUAGCAUGGCCCCUGAGCUAGGAUGACACGCAAAUUUGAGAAGCGUUCCAUAUUAAA
ensembl:snRNA U6 U6 spliceosomal RNA